rnacentral:misc_RNA from 1 species
UUAUUGACGAUCACGGUAAUUAUAUUAGCGAUAACGUCAGCUUAAAAUAACAGGAGCUGGUUAUGUUAAGGAUGACUCCGAUUGCUUCGGCGGUAUUACUGUUGCUACUCGGCAUUGACACCCAUGCCGCAGAAGAAACGUUUGAUACAAAUUUUAUGAUGGGUGGAAUGAAAGGUGAGCGGGUUUCUGAUUUUCGCCUCGAUGAUAACCAACCCCUGCCAGGCCAAUAUGAUAUUGACAUCUACGUCAAUAAGCAGAGGCGUGGUAAGUAUGAUAUUACUGUUAAGGAUAAUCCGGAUGACACCUGUUUAUCCCGCGAUGCAUUAACGCGUCUGGGGAU